rnacentral:rRNA from 1 species
UACAGGGGGGGCAAGCGUUGUUCGGAAUUACUGGGCGUAAAGGGCUCGUAGGCGGCCUGCUAAGUCCGACGUGAAAUCCCCAGGCUUAACCUGGGAACUGCGUCGGAUACUGGCGGGCUUGAAUCCGGGAGAGGGAUGCGGAAUUCCAGGUGUAGCGGUGAAAUUCGUAGAUAUUAGGAAGAACACCGGUGGCGAAGGCGGCCCACUGGCUCGAUACUGACGCUGAGGUGCGAAAGCGUGGGGAGCAAACAGG